AGUGGCGCACGGGUGAGUAACACGUGGGAACAUACCUCAUAGUACGGAAUAACUGCGGGAAACUGUAGCUAAUACCGUAUAUUCCAGAAAUGGGAAAGAUUUAUCGCUAUGAGAUUGGCCCGCGCAAGAUUAGCUUGUUGGUAAGGUAACGGCUUACCAAGGCUCCGAUCUUUAGCUGGUUUGAGAGGAUGAUCAGCCACACUGGGACUGAGACACGGCCCAGACUCCUACGGGAGGCAGCAGUAGGGAAUAUUGGACAAUGGGGGAAACCCUGAUCCAGCAAUGCAGCGUGAGUGACGAAGGCCUUAGGGUUGUAAAACUCUUUCAUCGGUGAGGAUAAUGACAGUAGCCGAAGAAGAAGGACCGGCUAAUUCCGUGCCAGCAGCCGCGGUAAUACGGAAGGUCCUAGCGUUGUUCGGAAUUACUGGGCGUAAAGCGCAUGUAGGCGGAACAAAAAGUUAGAAGUGAAAUCCCUGGGCUCAACCUAGGAAUUGCUUUUAAAACUUUUGUUCUGGAAUUCAGGAGAGGAAAAUGGAAUUUCCAGUGUAGAGGUGAAAUUCGUAGAUAUUGGAGGGAACACCAGUGGCGAAGGCGAUUUUCUGGACUGAUAUUGACGCUGAGAUGCGAAGGCAUGGGUAGCAAACGGGAUUAGAUACCCCGGUAGUCCAUGCAGUAAACGAUGGGUGCUAGUCGUCGGACCUUUGUUCGGUGUCGUAGCUAACGCGUUAAGCACCCCGCCUGGGGAGUAC
rnacentral:rRNA from 1 species